rnacentral:rRNA from 1 species
AGUGAACGCUGGCGGUAGGCCUAACACAUGCAAGUCGAACGGCAGCACAGUAAGAGCUUGCUCUUACGGGUGGCGAGUGGCGGACGGGUGAGGAAUACAUCGGAAUCUACUUUUUCGUGGGGGAUAACGUAGGGAAACUUACGCUAAUACCGCAUACGACCUACGGGUGGAAGCAGGGGAUCUUCGGACCUUGCGCGAUUGAAUGAGCCGAUGUCGGAUUAGCUAGUUGGCGGGGUAAAGGCCCACCAAGGCGACGAUCCGUAGCUGGUCUGAGAGGAUGAUCAGCCACACUGGAACGGAGACACGGUCCAGACUCCUACGGGAGGCAGCAGUGGGGAAUAUUGGACAAUGGGCGCAAGCCUGAUCCAGCCAUACCGCGUGGGUGAAGAAGGCCUUCGGGUUGUAAAGCCCUUUUGUUGGGAAAGAAAAGCAGCAGGUUAAUACCCCGCUGUUCUGACGGUACCCAAAGAAUAAGCACCGGCUAACUUCGUG